UACAGAGGGGGCAAGCGUUAUUCGGAAUUAUUGGGCGUAAAGGGCGCGUAGGCGGCCAUUCAAGUGACGGGUGAAAGCCCUCGGCUUAACCGAGGAACUGCCUGUCAGACUGGAUGGCUCGAGACCGGGAGAGGUGAGUGGAAUUCCCAGUGUAGCGGUGAAAUGCGUAGAUAUUGGGAGGAACACCAGUGGCGAAGGCGGCUCGCUGGGACGUUACUGACGCUGAGACGCGAAAGCGUGGGGAGCAAACAGG
rnacentral:rRNA from 1 species